rnacentral:rRNA from 1 species
CGUAAUCGAUGGAUAACAGGUUAAUAUUCCUGUACUUAGUAAUGUUCGCUUGACACGAAGGAGUGACGGAGAAAGGUAGCAAAGCCAACUGUUGGAUGUUGGUUUAAGCGAGUAGGUGGGUGUCUUAGGUAAAUCCGGGACGCUAUUAACAUCGAGACGCGAAUACGAGGGCCUAGCCCGAAGUUUGUGAUCCUCUGCUUCCAAGAAAAGCUUCGCGUGGAGAAUAUUAUUAAUCCGUACCGUAAACCGACACAGGUAGAUGAGGAGAGAAUCCUCAGGCGCUUGGGAAAACUCCAGUUAAGGAACUCUGCAAAUUGGUGCCGUAACUUUGGGAUAAGGCACGCCUUUGUUGGUGACACCGCUUGCCGGUGAAGCUGAUGGAGGCCGCAGUGAAGAGGGGGUAGCGACUGUUUAUCAAAAACAUAGGUCUAUGCGAACACGUAAGUGGAUGUAUAUGGACUGACGCCUGCCCGGUGCUCGAAGGUUAAGAGGAGGAGUGCAAGCUCUGAAUUGAAGCCCGAGUAAACGGCGGCCGUAACGAUAACGGUCCUAAGGUAGCGAAAUUCCUUGUCGGGU